UACGGAGGGCGCGAGCGUUAAUCGGAAUUACUGGGCGUAAAGCGCGCGUAGGCUGUUGUGUAAGUUGGGGGUGAAAUCCCACGGCUCAACCGUGGAACAGCCCUUGAUACUGCGCGACUUGAAUCCGGGAGAGGGUGGCGGAAUUCCAGGUGUAGGAGUGAAAUCCGUAGAUAUCUGGAGGAACAUCAGUGGCGAAGGCGGCUGUCUGGUCUGCAACUGACGCUGAGGCUCGAAAGCAUGGGUAGCGAACAGG
rnacentral:rRNA from 1 species